rnacentral:rRNA from 2 species
GAGGUCCAACCUGCCCAGUGACAAUGUUCAACGGCCGCGGUAUCCUAACCGUGCGAAGGUAGCGUAAUCACUUGUCCUUUAAAUGAGGACUAGUAUGAACGGUUUCACGAAGGCUGCACUGUCUCCUUUUUCUAAUCAGUAAAACUAAUCUUCCCGUGAAGAAGCGGGAAUUUUCCUAUAAGACGAGAAGACCCUAUGGAGCUUUAAACAAUUGAUACACUUGCAUCUUAAACCUCGCUUUUUAUUUAACCAAGCAUUUUGUUUCUAGUUUUAGGUUGGGGUGACCGCGGAGAAAAACCUAUCCUCCAUGUCGAAAGAAAUUCUAUUUCUUAGCAAAAAGCCACAUCUUUAUGCAUCAACAAAUUGACCCUAAUUGACCCAAUAAUUUGAUCAACGAACCAAGUUACCCUAGGGAUAACAGCGCAAUCCACUUCAAGAGCUCUUAUCGACAAGUGGGUUUACGACCUCGAUGUUGGAUCAGGGUAUCCAAGUGGUGCAGUAGCUACUAAAGGUUCGUUUGUUCAACGAUUAAAAC